GUUAGGGUGUGGACUUGUGUAAUGCAUAAACCAGAAGGAAGUUUGUAGGAGCCAUGUUGCUGGGUUGAGAGGUUAUUGUAUGCGGUGCUGCAUCCUGGAGGCGUGCUUGUGUAAAGCUUUUGUCUCUUUGGGCUACUGUACAGUGAGAUAAGUCUUCGGAUUAAGCAAGCAGCAAGAAAGCACAGAUGGGGGAAAAUAGAUGCACACCACAUGAAACCUCCAAGGAACCAAGAAGCAGAAGCUGAAGAGAGACAAGUUCCACCCCCCAGAGAGAGAAAAUCUUCCCCUGGAGCUGGCAUCCUGAAUUUGGACUUCUAGCCUCCUAAACUGUGAGAAGAGAUAAAAGGAAAGUGAAGCAACCAGAGAGUUGGGGACCUCACACCACUAAGAAAGCAGUUCUGGGAGCAGAGCACGCCCUUUGGACCUGAGAUUCCUGUGCUGAGAUGUUCCCAGACCAAGGGAAGACUGAUGACAAGGACCUUCUUCCAGAGCUGACAGAGAGAGAAAGCCUUCCCCUGGAGCCGGCACCCUGAAUUUGAACUUUUAGCCUACUGGGCUGUGAGAGAAUAAACUUCUAUUUGUUAAAGCCAUCUACUUGUGGUAUUUCUGUUACAGCAGCACUAGAUGACUAAGACAGUAGUGUAUCCUACAGGUGGAUAUUGAGAUUGUUUCUAUUUUUUUGC